rnacentral:lncRNA from 1 species
AUGCUGGCNNNNNNNNNNCACCCGGAUGCUGGCUGGGGCUCAUCGCUGCACACGGGCCUCCGUGAACACGCGGGAUGGAGCCGCCGCCUUCUCUCCCGGCCUCUGAGUUGCCUCCCAGCCCCCGUCUGACUUCUCAGCUCUCCCGUCCCCUCCGUAACCCACUCCCUGCCUCAGUCUCCUGUGUGGUAAAUACAAGAGUUCUCCAGUGAGGCCCCAACUGCUGCAUCCUUGGAUUAAUUUAAGGAUCCAAGGACAGAGGCCAGAGAAGCCUGCAUGGACCUGGGUAUCAGACGCAGAAGUAAUGGAGCAUUAGUCACCUUCGUCACCACGUUCUCAGUCAGCGAGGUCAGGUGCACGUCCAGACCUGAUGGACGCUCCUUCACAGGGACCUCCGGUGCGCAAACAGGACUCCAUGGAGAGCAGCUCGGGGGCAAGGACAGCUUCUCUAAAGCACGGUGAGGCACCACUGUCACUGAGGAUGCACGGUCCUCUCCUUGCCCUGGAAGCAGAGAACGGGAAUGUGCAGCCACAGUGAGUGUGCGACCAACCCCAGGCCAGCUCAGUCCCCUUACUUAAGUCCCUGAACAGCGGAGCCCUGACUGCCUCCAGCCAGGUUCUCCAUCCACAGCCCCAGUAUUUGGGUC